GCUGAGGCUAAAGUCACAUCUCGACACGGCUCUUGUCCUGGUGUGCUAGAGUCCUCGGAGAGAAUCUGCUGGUCCUGAUUCACUGGCGGGGGCUGUCAGUGCCCCCGCCAGUGCCUAGAUCAGUAACACAC
rnacentral:snoRNA from 1 species